GGUCACCUACGAGCCAGAACCACCUAUAAUGGUCUGUACUAGAGGACUGGGUGUAAAUAAAUACGCUAUAGCACUACGAUCACGUGAAGAUUGUGCGAAUAAUCACGGGUCACCUACGAGUCGGAACCACCUAUAGUAGUCUGUACGACAAGACUGUGCACCUAACUUGGAUCUAAGGUGAGCGUAUGGCGCAGGAGGUGAACAUCACGUGAAGGACUGUGCCCUAACCACAGGCGGGAGCACUAACACCGGGGUGCAGGUUUAUGAGCUCUCAACACAUCUCACAUAAUCAUCAAUUCACAUAAACAAUCUACAUCCCACAUGUACCUACUUGAGCGUCCACAGGGUCGAACAUAGAUAUAUGCAAUUACUAUACUAAUUCACAGUCUAAGCAUAAAUCAAUAGGCAUGGCAUUUCAAAACAUAAUUUCAUUUAAACAUAAUUUCUAGGAAAAAUACCAAGUAUAUAAGUAUAUACUAAAAACCAAAAGCCCACUCACUGAUAUGUGGAAGGGUCGUAACCCCUGAGCCUUGCUUGACUACGCUCGUCCUCAGGAUAGGUCUCACCUAUAUGCGAAAUAACUAUUUAAACGUUAUUUUAAAGCACAUACACAAAACUAGGUAAUAACUUCUCAUACAUUGCUCAAUUGGGGUAUUUGAAUAUACCACCAUGACCUACUCAACCUUAGGAACAUCCCCAUAUUUUUAGAAAAAAUUUCCGAGCACUCA
rnacentral:lncRNA from 1 species